AAAAAAAAAAAAAAACAUACUCCCACAGGGAAAGACAAAAGUCAUGGUCUUCCACACAGCAGAAACUCAGAUGGACACUGAUGGACACCCGCGUGACUGCAGACCCCGGCGCGAGCCUCUGGGUGUCUGACUAUCCAGUUUGCCCUACCUGACUGUAGGCAUGAAGAUGGCAUGAAGAAGGAUGCUGCAAUGCGGUCUGCAACAAGAGUAGAGCACCUCAAAGCUGCCGAUUGGAUGACUAAUAGGAGGGGCGUUGACGUUGAUUGCUCGACGUCACAGCUUCUCCUGAAUGUGUGCCAAGUUAAAAGUGAAAGUAUAAACUGAAGGAGCGUAGGCGGAGCGUGUGUAAGGCCGGGGAAGCAUUAGCAGAUAUAGACCUACGUACAAUGUAAAUUAGAGAUUCAUUUUGCAGUGCAGACAGCUUUAGUGAUUAUAAGGACGUUUUUUUUGUUGAGAGAGAGAGAGAGAGCACUUAAACUCGCGAUAGAUCAAAGUUAUAAUGUCACUUUAUUUUCUAUUCGCCGUUUAAAUAGGCUAUCCGUGGAAAGUUCUAUAAUUAUCAAUUUCUAAUGUUUUAAUUAAAAACUGUAAUCACGUAAAAUACAAAUUCAGUUCCAUUAAACAUAUUUAUUAGCCUAUAUGACACCACUGUCUGGUUCUUGCCUAAAAAGACAUGGUGUUUGUAUUUAUUAAUAGAUUUGGCUGCUUUUAGCCUUCGCCCAUGGUAAUCGCGCGUUUGAGUUUAAUUUUUAAAAGGGGAAGCAAAUAUCAAUUAGUCAGUACUUUAAAAGGUCUAAGUUGGACAUUACAAUUUUACUGCAUCAAGAAACCAACAAUAACACUGCAGAUGAACCUCAGUCUCCUGCUAAUGAGCCUAGGCCACUGUCGCCAUCAAUGCACGGGGCGUCUGCUAAUGAACCAUAAGAGUCAGUGUCAAAGGAUUCUGGAACUCCACCAGCAGACCUGUCUGAUAUGGACGAGCCACCCAUGCAGCCAAAAUUGCAACGAUUUCCAGUUAUUAUACAAUACAAGGAAAACCACGAUGUUUUUCUUUGCGAUGGUAUGAGAGAUUCAGCUGAUUGGAAUACAGCACAGCCAGCGAUGCAGUUUUCUGUAUCCUGCAGGCAUUUCCCUGAGCUAUAAGCAAAAUGUACACAGGAUGGAUUUAAAGAGUUGAAUCAUCUAAGUAAAGCAUGUAAGAAGCACCAGGAUACCAAAGGACACCUGCGCUCACAAACGAAACUACCGCUUAUAGACAAAGAUAUUCCGUUGCGUGGUCACAGAGAAAGCGAGGAAGUAUUAAACCAGGGAAUUUUUUUGGAAUUGUUCCGUUUGCUUUCAAACUAUUAUACGAACAUUCAACCGCGCCUUGACCAGCUGCCUAAAAAUGCGACGAUGAUGAGCUCAGAUAUUCAGAAAGAUUUGCUGCGCAAGAUAAAAAGCGAGUUACAAAUUACACCAGGCAUGCCAUUAUGGCCACGGCCACCCCUGUAUAAACUCUGGCCACCCCUGUGGCCACCCCUAGGAUGAUUUGCAGUGGCCACUAUUAAUUUAAAUCUAUUUUAAAUCUAUUAAUUUUAGAUCUAUAUAAUUUAUAUGUCAUUUAAUAUAGUUACUAUCACACGAAGAGUGACGUUUUUCUCCAGAAGUCUGCAUAAUUGCAAAUGUGACAUUGAUUUCAUACAACAGUUCAAUAAACAAGAAGUUAAUAUCAAGAGUUUUACGUUUUAGACAACAUAUUCACUUUUUGCGCUCUAUUUCUAAAAACAAAAUCGUUCCAAACACAGCCACUGUUUUGCGUCUCUGAGCAACAUGAUAGUGUUUCGUUCCUGAAUGAAUCAACCGUUUAAAUGAUUCGGUUCAAUCGCAAUGACUCGCUUAUUAACAGUGACUCGCUGCCACCUACUGGCUGUUUUAAUUUCACAUUUAAGGUACCAUUUCAUUUUUUUAA
ensembl:lncRNA